CUAAGGAUGAUCCUUCAGCGAGCUUCGGCUCACUAUCGGAUCGUUUUAAGAAACAUCAGUGGCCAACGGUCGUCAGGAUCGUUGAGCUGCAUUGGCGGGAUUUCGCCGUCUUCGUUUCUCUUUCUUCGCGGACGAACACGCGCUGGGCCUGCAUGGUUGCAGGAUCCCGGUCCUUAACUGGAUAUGCGUUAGGGGCUUGUAGCUCAGUUGGUUAGAGCGCGCGCUUGAUAAGCGUGAGGUCGGAAGUUCAAGUCUUCCCAGGCCCACCACACUCAUCGAGUGAGCAUUCGUCUUCUGGUUACGGGGCCAUAGCUCAGCUGGGAGAGCGCGUGCUUUGCAAGCAUGAGGUCGUCGGUUCGAUCCCGUCUGGCUCCACCAGAUGGUUUGAUCAUCGACUGAUCGUGCACCUAAAUCGUCCGCGAAACAUCACUUCGCACCCACUAGUCCGGAUGGACAGUGACGUGCGUGAUUUCUGACAUCGUAAAGAGGAGAUCGAUCCGAGUUGGAUCGUGCAGCAAGAAAUUGCUACGCGGUACUCCAUUAUCUCCGGAUCAUUUCGGCGCUCGUGCGUCUUCCAAGGUAGCUCACAAGGCUGCGUUGAAAGACAAGCGAGUUGUAAAUGAUCCUUUUAGCGAAGCUUGACCGCCUCGCUAUCGGAACGAUCUUACGAAGCAAGCUGGUCUUUCUAAUCAUUGUCCGGCUGCAGAUAGCGUUCAUCGAGGGCGCGUACUUUAGAGACUUAGGUUUCUUGGUAAUUCUGCAGACAACAUUCUGCCGAGUGUGUGGACAUUGAUAAUGAGAGC
rnacentral:tRNA from 1 species